CCCCACCGCCGAAGCCGCCGCCGCCGCCACCAGAACCCACCCCACAGGUCAUGUGACCACAGGGUAUAAAUACAAGCUGGAGCGCCGACACGUCCCGACUCUGGUCAAGUGUGUGAGGAGGCCUUAAUACGACGUCCUUCGCCCAAACAAACAGCCAAUAUGCGCGAGUGCAUUUCCAUCCACGUGGGGCAGGCGGGCGUGCAGAUGGGCAACGCCUGCUGGGAGCUCUAUUGCCUCGAGCAUGGCAUCCAGCCCGACGGCACCAUGCCCUCCGACAAGUACGUGGGCGGCAGCGACGACUCCUUCAACACCUUCUUCAGCGAGACCGGGUCGGGGAAGCACGUGCCCCGAGCUGUCUUCGUUGAUCUCGAACCUUCGGUGGUCGAUGAGGUCCGCAUCGGCGUGUACCGGUACCUGUUCCAUCCCGAACAGCUGAUCACAGGGAAGGAGGACGCGGCCAACAAUUACGCCCGAGGUCACUACACCAUCGGGAAGGAGAUUGUUGACCUCGUCUUGGAUCGGGUCAGGAAGCUGGCGGAUCAGUGUACCGGCCUUCAGGGAUUCCUCAUCUUCCACUCCUUCGGCGGCGGCACGGGCUCUGGCUUCACCUCCCUGCUGAUGGAAAGGCUCUCAGUCGACUACGGAAAGAAGAGCAAACUCGAAUUCGCUAUCUAUCCGGCGCCACAGGUGGCCACGGCCGUCGUGGAGCCCUACAACUCCAUCCUGACGACGCACACGACGCUCGAGCACUCCGACUGCGCCUUCAUGGUGGACAACGAGGCCAUCUACGACAUCUGCCGCCGCAACCUGGACAUCGAGCGCCCGACCUACACCAACCUCAACCGCCUCAUCGGCCAGAUCGUGUCGUCCAUCACGGCGUCGCUUCGCUUCGACGGCGCCCUCAACGUCGACCUGACGGAGUUCCAGACCAACCUGGUGCCGUACCCGCGCAUCCACUUCCCGCUGGUGACGUACGCGCCGGUCAUCUCGGCCGAGAAGGCGUACCACGAGCAGCUGUCGGUGGCGGAGAUCACGAACGCGUGCUUCGAGCCGGCCAACCAGAUGGUCAAGUGCGACCCGCGCCACGGCAAGUACAUGGCCUGCUGCCUGCUCUUCCGCGGCGACGUCGUGCCCAAGGACGUCAACGCCGCCAUCGCCUCCAUCAAGACCAAGCGCACCAUCCAGUUCGUGGACUGGUGCCCCACGGGCUUCAAGGUGGGCAUCAACUACCAGCCGCCGACGGUCGUGCCCGGCGGCGACCUGGCCAAGGUGUCCCGCGCCGUGUGCAUGCUGUCCAACACCACCGCCAUCGCCGAGGCCUGGGCGCGCCUCGACCACAAGUUCGACCUGAUGUACGCCAAGCGCGCCUUCGUGCACUGGUACGUGGGCGAGGGCAUGGAGGAGGGCGAGUUCACGGAGGCGCGCGAGGACCUGGCGGCGCUCGAGAAGGACUACGAGGAGGUCGGGAUGGACUCCGCCGAGGAGGAGGGCGACGACAACGAGUAUUAGCGCCCCAGUGUGCUCCAGGUGGUAGAUUCGCACUCAGACCCACGUACACGCACGCACGCACACACAAACACACACACACACACACACACACACACACACACACACACACACACACACACACACACACACACACACACACACAC
rnacentral:misc_RNA from 1 species